UAUGGAAAAAAGAGUAGGCGAGCAAAAAAGUAUGAAUGAAUCCAAAAGAGUAGGCGAGAAUUACCUGGGUGACGUAGUAAUUGUCGUGAGAUUCGGACUUAAGUGCGUUCCAAUAUGCCUACUUUCCUACUAUAUAGUAGGCGAAAACAGUACGUGAAGGAAGCAGUAUGUUCGUUUUCAUAAAAGAGUAGGUGAGAAGUUCUCGGAUCGCUUACUGCUUCCGCCCAGAUUUUUGAGUGCUGUCCGAUGGGUACUCAUGAUACUCAUCGAUCUAUCCGAGGAGGCCACGUGAGAGGAUUCGUCAGUAUCAACAUCGUGGAGAUCAGCGACGCGGGGGUUUUGAAAUGGACAGAAGAACACGCGUGUGUUUAUCCGGUGGAGAGAGGCUCAUGAUGCUGAAUGCUGUCAUCAAUGGCUCUGACUUUUGUGGUGGAGCAGGACCUGCAAGGAAAGAUGAUGG